CCUACGGGAGGCAGCAGUGGGGAAUAUUGGACAAUGGGCGCAAGCCUGAUCCAGCAACGCCGCGUGGGGACGAAGGCUCUCGGGUUGUAAACCCCUUUUGGCGGGACGAUGAUGACGGUACCGCGAAUAAGCCCCGGCUAACUACGUGCC
rnacentral:rRNA from 1 species